rnacentral:sRNA from 1 species
CAUCAACUUCCGUGAGAAGAAGCCAAAGCCAUCCAAGAAGAAAGCAGAAGGUGGCAGCACGGAGGAGGGGGCCGGGGCCCGGGGCCGCGUGGCGCGUUUCCGCUACUUCGAAGAUAUUUAUGGCUACUCAGGGGUGUUCAUCUGCGGCCCCUCCCCUCACUGGCUCCUGGUGACUGGCCGAGGGGCUCUGCGGCUACACCCCAUGGCCAUCGACGGCCCCGUCGACUCUUUCGCUCCAUUCCACAAUGUCAACUGUCCUCGCGGCUUCCUGUACUUCAACAGACAGGUGGGGCCCGGCCGGUUCCCAGCAGCACUGGCUGAUGCUGCCCCAGCUGAGGGGGAGGGGACAGAAGGGGCCAUUGGCUCCACCCUGAGGACCAGGAAGGAGUGUCCAGAGGGCGAUGGGGUUGAGGCCGAGGAGGUGGAACCUGUGACUUGGUGCUCCAAAAGUCUGGAAAGGGGUGGUUGGGAGUUGGGGCUACAGCCCCCGGGGGCCCCCCACUGCUCCGCUGGCUUGCUGGGCAAGCCCUCGCAGGGCCUGGCCUCCACACUUCUCAGGAGAGCUGACUUGAGUGCUAGCUCUGCCCCUUGGCUGCUCUGUGACUUU